rfam:Pteropus vampyrus cont1.178871, whole genome shotgun sequence.
GCUUCUGAACAGCUGGUGUAGCUACAGAGAAACCAGCUUCGUUCAGACAGC